GACGAACGCUGGCGGCGUGCCUAAUACAUGCAAGUCGAACGCUUCUUUCCUCCCGAGUGCUUGCACUCAAUUGGAAAGAGGAGUGGCGGACGGGUGAGUAACACGUGGGUAACCUACCCAUCAGAGGGGGAUAACACUUGGAAACAGGUGCUAAUACCGCAUAACAGUUUAUGCCGCAUGGCAUAAGAGUGAAAGGCGCUUUCGGGUGUCGCUGAUGGAUGGACCCGCGGUGCAUUAGCUAGUUGGUGAGGUAACGGCUCACCAAGGCCACGAUGCAUAGCCGACCUGAGAGGGUGAUCGGCCACCCUGGGACUGAGACACGGCCCAGACUCCUACGGGAGGCAGCAGUAGGGAAUCUUCGGCAAUGGACGAAAGUCUGACCGAGCAACGCCGCGUGAGUGAAGAAGGUUUUCGGAUCGUAAAACUCUGUUGUUAGGGAAGAACAAGGACGUUAGUAACUGAACGUCCCCUGACGGUAUCUAACCAGAAAGCCACGGCUAACUACGUG
rnacentral:rRNA from 1 species